GUGAGAUGUAAGGGUACAUCUGCAUUGAACGUGACUGACUCUGGAGCUUUUUCUGCUGUCAAGAUUUGCUCCGAUGGGAUAUGGGUAUAACUGUCCCUCCGACCUGAGACCGCCACAGUAACUUGCAAGCAACUCAAUGCACUUAGGCACUGAACUACCUGAAUUUCUAAUUCAGUGACGGAAGGCUGCUGGGUGUAGUCAAGUACUUGACUUGUCGGUGCGUGUGUCAAGAUGGGAUUGACCACUCCAGUUCAGGAGUUGUGUAUAGUCAUAUUUCAAUUUAGCAAAACCUUGGCCAGAGUAGUCCUAGUGAGGAGUCACAGGACUAUUUGAGUUGAGCACGAUUCGGAUGAUCUAAUCAGGGUUGACAGUUUAACCCUGAGUCAUCCUAAACAGAGGGGUCAAAAGGAUGAAUUAUACAAUAACCAUAUUCACGUAGGUUUUGAGUGUUGUUAUUGUGACUAUUCGACCUAUCCGAACAUCGGGUACCAUUGCUAGAUGGUCACUUCGAUUAGUACAGGAAUUGGUUCCUGUGCUACCGGCUUAGGUUCGAACCUGCGGGGUCACACACAUUAGAAGUUCCUAUCUGAUCUGAUGGCUGCUGAAGAGUCCUAAUGCUCAUGGACUUUGAGUCCUACAUGUCUAAAACUCUGUGAUUGAGAAUCAAGAUUCUCUAAUCAUGAGUUCCACACAUUUUGG
rnacentral:lncRNA from 1 species